rnacentral:lncRNA from 1 species
GCCGAGGUGGCGGGGAGCGCCGUGUGAGGCAAGCCACGCCCGGGAGGAGGGGCGCGGGGCCGAGGUUGACCAGUAGCCGGAACAGCCGGCUGAGGGAGUUAACUUGGGAGGUUACAGGGAGAGGUGCGGGGGACCGGGGCAAUAGCGGGAGGAGACCAGGAGCAGUCGCCUGCGCAACAGAGCUCAAGGACCAGGUUCUGGACGCCAGGAAGCCCGAGCCACGCCUAUGUGACACCCAGAGAAGGAGACAAGCAGCCCUGUGGUGCUCGGUAGGACCACGGGCAUUUCAGCGCCCUUUCGAGUCCCUGGGAGAGACACAGCGUGUCACAAGAGAGGACACUACAGAGAGACAACCAGGUCCACCUCAGCACUCCUGGCCCACCCCUUCACCUGCAGAGUGCUGGUCCCUCCUUAACCCAUUGCAGCCCCCUCUUCCGACACACAACUAAGAGUGGGCCCAGCAAACAACCACCUACCACCCUUCCUGAACGGGUAUCAGUCUGUGGUCCCCACAGCUACAAAGGAGCCUCAGGUUUCUCUAAUUUCCUCCACUUGGAAUUUGAAGCAGGCAGCUACUGCCCGAGCCCAGACAGUUCUAAAAAGGGCAGGUCCGUGGGAGCAUAGACUGGCCUGGGUGGGGUCAAGAGGAGGCGGGAGCCUCCAGUCUCUGGUUCCUAUUAAAGGACUGUCUGAGGGUUGCUCUCAUCAAGCUUGCAUCCUGGUGGUCUGCUCUGGGGAGGUGUGGGGACGGCCACUCUGGUCUUGCCACCAGCAGCAACUUGCACUGGGCUCUGGCCAAACCUAAGAUUGGGGGUGAGAUGGUGCACCCCAUCAUCCCCAGCUACCUGGGGGUGUCUCAGGUUCCAGGCCAGCCUGGGCAACUCAGGGAGACCCCAUCUCAGAAAAAAACCCCAAAAAGGGUGAAUAUGCUCCUCAGAGAUGUCCCCUGUUUCCUACGUGGGGAAGGAUGUGGGCAGGGAGGUGUGGUACAAGAAGGGACACCUGGACAGCCAGGCUUCUGGAAGGGAAGAGCCCCUGAACUGCUCAUGGAGACAGUGGGCCAGUGUUACCCUGCACACCCAGCAUGCAGGAAGCAGCUCCCAGAUGCCGCAGAACGGGACCAAGGUCAUUCCCUUUCCCCCAGGGAAUGUCCAUGCUCCAGCCUCGAUGGCAGGGCUACAGUGCUUCCUUUGCUUCUUCCUCAUCUACUCCUCAAUUUCCUGGUGUUCAGCAGAUUUUUCUUUUUCUUUUUUUGAGGGGGGCCGGAGGGUACUGGGGAUGGAACUCGGGACCUUUCGCUUGCAAAGCAGGCAGCGGAACCACUGAGCUAAAUCCCUGGCCCUUCAGUAGUAGAUUUUUCUUCACUACUGCCCUGCAGGCCAAGCCAACAGGGUAACCAUGGCAGCUCAAUUCUCCGGCCUGCUUUCUCCAUUCUCCCACACUGUCAUGUGUCCUUGUCACCAACCCAUAGUUCCUGUGGCUUUGAGGAGGGGUCACAAACCUGAGCACCCACAGGAGUGGGCGGCAAUGUAAAUGAAGUGUUGCAGUGGAGGGGAAAUAGCAGUGAGGUAAAACAGGGCAAAGGAAGCUUGGGCUCAACAAGCAGUGGUGGCAGAUUGGAGGGUGUGUGCCCCAUCAGAAAAGCACAGCAGCUGCCCGGCUGCCAUGGGGUACAGACUGGGUUCCUAGUUCUUCCAGUUUUCACAAGUCCCAGUAGUUCAUAUAUCAUGGGGAAGGGCCAGGGAUGUAGCUCAGUGGUGCCACGCCUGCCUGGCAAGGGAAAGGUCCUGAGUUCGGUCCUGAGUGCAGGGGUGGGGGGGCAUAGAUCAUGAAAAAUCUUUUUGGCCUGGAGCAUGCUGUGCACGUGUUCUGCCACUGAGCUACAUCUCCAGGACUCCAGAUCUUUGUGUUUAAAGGACAGACUGUACCAAAGUGUUUCACUCUCAUCCAGCCUGGCAGAUGCUGCUUUCCAGCUUCCUAUCUACAAAGUCUUCCAAGUCCUACAACAUGGAAUUCAAGACCCUGCAAGAUCCAGCCACACCCCCUCAGCCACCAGCCAUACUCAUUGUUAAAAAUUCUCCAGAAUAGCUGGAUUGGGUUGAGCACACCAAACCCUCUGCCUAGAGUUGCUUGCCCACUUUCCCUGGCAAGCUCCUGUGGUGAUGUCAUUGUUCAGGCAUCACUGUGUCCACACACUUCCUAGCUGUCUCCCCUUCUGAUAAGGUGACUGCCCCUCCUUCCCCUCGCCACACAGGGAUGCUUCCAUGUCUCUUAGGUUGACGCAGCUCCACUUCUGCAUGACUUGGGAGCCCUGGAGUGUGGGCAGGAGGCCUGUGUCCUGGCCGGUCUGCAGAGCAGGGAGUGGCCAUGGCGGGCUGGGGCCCUCUCAUGUCACUCCGCCUGCCCAGUGAGAGCUGUGAAGGGGCGACAGUACUAGCAGGGCAUGUGCCAGGAGCAAGCUGUAAUACAUGAGUGCACCAGGCUGUGGUAUCUGGAUGGGCUUCUCCUCUGGUUGCUGAGGGUGAGGCUGUGUCCAGUUUACUUCCCCAGUGCCCGACUGGGACCUAGCAGACAGACAUCUGGGAAUGGCCACUGAGUGAGCAAACUCCGGCAGAGGGGAGGGAAUCCAGGCUCUGCCAGUCCCAGCGGACUUACCUGUCUCAUCCACCUCUGUUUGCCCAACUCAGGGCCCCGGGUGUGGAAUCCGGUAACUCUGAAAGGCAGGAGGCAGGAGGGCAGGAGGUCAGACCAGAUCCUCCAGGAAGCUAAAGGCCCCAACCUGUGUUCUGCCAACACUUAGCUCCACUCUCCCUGGGGUGCAAGGACAGACGUCAGGGCCCUGUUGUUAAGAUUUAUUGUUCUCUGCUCUGUACAAGCGGCGUCUACCACCCUGACCCCCAACCCCACAAUGCAAAAGCACUCCCUCCUGCAGUCCCAGCUCUGCAUGUCCCACUGCCUAGCCAGGCUCAAAAGGAAAGGGGUGUUCAAUUCAGCUCCAUCUCCAUCAAAGAGCUCCCUGGGGCGGAGGCGGGGGGAGGGGUCACGAGAGGGAUGGAAAGAGCCAAGUUCAGGGUCCGGUUGGACAGGGAAGGGCCGAGAACCUGGAGGGUGAUUCAGUCUGGAGUCCGCAGGACCUGGGCCCUGGGGAGGCCAGGCAGUCUGAAGUUCUGAAGGAUGGGACAGAGACGGGGAACAGUCCGACAGCAGCCCGGAGAGGAGCAGUCCAGGGCAGACACGAGAUCACGUGGGGAAGCA